rnacentral:rRNA from 1 species
GUGGGGAAUAUUCCGCAAUGGACGAAAGUCUGACGGAGCAACGCCGCGUGAGGGAAGAAGGCCUUAGGGUCGUAAACCUCUGUUGUGUGGGAAGAAGGAAGUGACGGUACCACACGAGGAAGUCCCGGCUAACUACGUGCCAGCAGCCGCGGUAAUACGUAGGGGACGAGCGUUGUCCGGAAUUACUGGGCGUAAAGGGCGCGCAGGCUGUGCUGCAAGUCAGCUGUGAAAUGUCUGGGCUUAACCCGGGCAUGCGGUUGAGACUGCAGUGCUGGAGUGCUGUAGAGGCAAGUGGAAUUCCCAGUGUAGCGGUGAAAUGCGUAGAUAUCUGGAGGAACAUCAGUGGCGAAGGCGACACCCUGGACCGAUACUGACACUGAGGUGCGAAAGCGUGGGUAGCGAACAGGAUUAGAAACCCCAGUAGUCC